AACUAAAACAGGACCGGAGAGCCCGCGACCGUCCCUCACCUCCCCGCUGCGAGGCCCGCGGGCUGUGGAAUCUCGCACGUCACCUGGCCCCAGCGGGGCGGCCAGCUGAGGAUUUUAUUUUCCUAUUUUAUUUGAAGUAAAGGCUUCAUCUCGGCUUUGGGGGUGUUUGCCAACGUCUCUACUGACAGGAACCAGCAAACUUCAGGACUCAAAUGAGCAUCUUAAUUUAUUGAUGCAAAGCAGGUCUGCUCACAGAUCCCCCAUCCCCGGCGCUCUCCCCCCCACCCCCCCACCCCCGCGAACUUCGCUCCCUCUGUCGGUCCCGGAGCACGUGGGGGGGGGGGGAAUCGGCGGCCCGCACCCCCCUGCAACACCCGACCCCGCCCUGGUACCGCGCGACCCCCGCCCCGCUCCCGGUCAGCUGACCUGGCUCGCCGGCCUGCUCCCCGCCCGCCGCCCUGUUUCCGGUCCCCCGGGUCCGCGAGCCCCGCUCCGCGAGGAAGCCGCGGCGGCCGGGAGGUGAUGCAGGGGGCUGAUUAUCAUGAGAAAGGCUGUGCCUGGAAAAGCCUCCUCCACGCGACUGUCAGUCUCACAAAAGGGGGGUGGUGGUGGUGGUGGAAGAAAAGGGGCUCUGGAGGAGUCACCAGAAAACUUGCAGCAAGUUAGAUGCGACGCAGGCCCGAGGAGGUGGCUUUCGCCUUAACUUGGAAGGCUGGGCAUUAAGGGUGCGGACGCCAACAGCCUCGCCUGGGGAUUGGAAACCCAAAUCUCCCUCCUCCCUUUCCUCUUGCCCUCCUUUCAGCCCUCCCUGCCCUUUAUCCAGAUUUUCUUGCAAUUCUGUCGUAAUUGCAUUUUCUACAUUCUCGUUUCUUUCUAUAUUUCUUUUGCAAUCUCAUUUCCCCCCAAUUUACCUUCUUUGUAAAAAAAUUUUUGGUGCCUACUUUAUACGUCCAGAUUUAUCAGUUCGUUUUCAAAACAAUGUUUAAAAUGCAAUUAAUCUACCAGCAGGAGGUCAGGGACACCCUGACUAAAAUAACUCCUGGGUCUUAAGAGACAAGUUCGCCAGGUGUCAGGAAAAAGUAAAAUAAUAAUGAAAAUAAAUGAGUAUCUCAAUGACUAUAACAGCUUAUUACUCUCUAUUAUUAUAUCAGCUCUCACAGAUUUUUUUUAAAAAAGAUAUAAUCUUUCUGGAAAAAAUACGAAAGUAUUUGACAACGAGAAUCAGUAUAAUUAAGGCAAUAUGCAAAUUGUUCGUACUUAUAAAUAAAUUAUUUU
rnacentral:lncRNA from 1 species